UACGUAGGGUGCAAGCGUUGUCCGGAAUUAUUGGGCGUAAAGAGCUCGUAGGCGGCUUGUCGCGUCUGCCGUGAAAUCCUCAGGCUCAACCUGAGGCGUGCGGUGGGUACGGGCAAGCUAGAGUGCGGUAGGGGAGAUUGGAACUCCUGGUGUAGCGGUGGAAUGCGCAGAUAUCAGGAAGAACACCGAUGGCGAAGGCAGAUCUCUGGGCCGUAACUGACGCUGAGGAGCGAAAGCAUGGGGAGCGAACAGG
rnacentral:rRNA from 1 species